rnacentral:rRNA from 1 species
GCCAAAUGGCUAAGCCGCGAACGGCUCAUUAAAUCAGCUAUGGUUCCUUAGAUCUUCGGCCGCGUCCUCGGACGUGGCGUUUGGAUAACUGUGGUAAUUCUAGAGCUAAUACAUGCCUGACGCCGUCGGGGCCCGCGAGGGUCGCGACGCCUUUAUCCCGUCAAGACCAGCCGGCGCAGCGCGGUUCUCGGACCGUGGCGGCCGACCUCCUUGAUGAACUCUGGAUAACUCCACUUGACCGCAUGGCCUUUGCGCCGGCGGCUGAUCUAAUAAAUGUCUGCCUUAUCAACUGUCGACGGUAGGAGCCCGGCCUACCGUGGUGAUAACGGGUAGCGGGGAAUAAGGGUUCUAUACCGGAGAGGGAGCAUGAGAAACGGCUACCACA